rnacentral:rRNA from 1 species
AUUGAACGCUGGCGGCAUGCCUUACACAUGCAAGUCGAACGGCAGCACGGGGGCAACCCUGGUGGCGAGUGGCGAACGGGUGAGUAACGCAUCGGAACGUGCCCAGUAGUGGGGGAUAACCAGUCGAAAGACUGGCUAAUACCGCAUACGACCCAAGGGUGAAAGCGGGGGACCGUAAGGCCUCGCGCUAUUGGAGCGGCCGAUGUCUGAUUAGCUAGUUGGCGGGGGAAGAGCCCACCAAGGCGACGAGCAGUAGCUGGUCUGAGAGGACGACCAGCCACACUGGGACUGAGACACGGCCCAGACUCCUACGGGAGGCAUCAGUGGGGAAUUUUGGACAAUGGGCGCAAGCCUGAUCCAGCCAUGCCGCGUGCGGGAAGAAGGCCUUCGGGUUGUAAACCGCUUUUGGCAGGAACGAAACGGUGCAAGCCAAUACCUUGCGCUAAUGACGGUACCUGCAGAAUAAGCACCGGCUAACUACGUGCCAGCAGCCGCCGCGGUAACAC